rnacentral:misc_RNA from 1 species
AAAAGCUUUUGCAGAAGUACUGCAAAAUCCCAGACCUUGAUGAGCAUUAACAUCUGAAACCUGACAUGUGUAAUUCUUACUUUUGCCAGUGGGGUUGUCCAUAGAGCACGAUCGCAAACAAUUUUCAGCGGAUGAAAUCUGACUAUCCAACUUUCCACUCAUCACAGCCUCUUCAGGAUGUUGUCCACUUCCAUGCCUGCUCACAGGCCUCCAGAGCUUCCCAGCUGCCCCAUUUGACCCACCCUGAAGAGCAUCUUGCUUUGCUGGUUUCACUGCAAGAUUACACUUUUUAGUCAUGGCUGGUUCUGCAUGGCUGUCGAAGUUGUCUCUUUCUACAGCAGGACAGUUACCCAGUCCGGGAGUGCUGCAAUUUUUCAUUGGAACAGAAAUAGAACCAAUCAUCACUUCACAGUUACUCUGAUUUUGGUUUAUUGCCUCCUUCUGUGGCUCCGGUCUAAAGCGCUCACCAUUUAGCACUCUAAUUUUUUUUGUCCAAAUCUUACUGCUAUUAACAGGGGCACCUCGGUCUUUAAAAACUCCAUGCUUCUGCACAGGUUCAAUUUUUUGUACUUGAUGAUUCUGGUUGUUAUGGGAACCAUUUCGCCCCAUUCUUUGUGACUUUGGCACUUGCCACUGGGUAUGGGGGAAAUGCCGUCGACUCUGUGCAGAUACUGGUUGGGGCUCAACAUCCUGAAUUUCUACCAGAUCCAGAUGCUGGCUAGAGAGAUUAAGUUGUGCUUCAAUGUCCAUAACUUCAUUGUUAGAGAAUUGUACAAGUUCAAGGCAGGAGGAGGUAUCGUCAGAUACUUCGGGAGUACUUGAGUUGGAAUCAGAUACUGCAGCUGAAAGGAUGGAAGAUUCUGCUAUUGAAACCUCCAAAUCACCUCUUUCCCAAUUUGAUUGCUCCCUUUCUCUCUGUUCCUUCUGUCUGAGCUUUUUCUGUUUUUUCCUUUCCAACAACUCAGACAGAAGG